CUACUGAAGAAAAUGCUGUGAGUGUGUCAGAUGUAUAGUGUAUGGCUAGAAAUAGGCCUAUGGAAAUUUGGAGAAUUAGGCAUACUCCAAUAAGGGAUCCAAAGUUUCACCAUCCUGAGAUGUUUGAAGGGGCUGGAAGGUCAAUAAAAGCAUGAUUUACUAUUUUUAUAAGAGGAUGGGAUUUGCGUAUGAUUGUCAUUAUAUAUAAUUUUUAUAGCUGAAUUAACAACGAUGAUUUUUCAUGUCAUGGGUCAUGGUUUAAGUCCAUGUAAAAAUUAUGACAAAUUUACUUUAUUUAACUUUAAUUUUAAUGUUAGUCCUAUUAGUGCUAGGGUUAU